GCCUCCAUAGCUCAAUGGUAGAGCAGUGGCCUUUUAAGCCAUUGACGAGGGUCCGAUUCCUUCUGGAGGCACCA
rnacentral:tRNA from 1 species